AGAAUUCACAUGUGAGGUCCACACCAGGAACAUGUCAGGACGAACCACUGUGGUUCUGCAAAGAAUUGGUUACUCGGCACUUCAUGUGUACAUAUUGGUGUUGUGCUCUGUUGCACUGGUGCUUUCAGUGGGAUCGUGUGUUCCGGUUUUCAACAAGUUGAGAAAGAAAGGGAUUUUGUCAGG